GACGAACGCUGGCGGCGUGCCUAACACAUGCAAGUCGGACGGAUCAGGUAUGACAGCUUGCUGUAGUGCCUGGUUAGUGGCGGACGGGUGAGUAACGCGUGAGGACCUACCCUGGAGAGGGGGAUAACGGCUGGAAACGGCUGCUAAUACCCCGUAAGCCGGAGGGUGAAAGGGAGCGAUCUGCUCCGGGGCGGCCUUGCGUCCUAUCAGCUAGUUGGUGGGGUAAUGGCCUACCAAGGCGAAGACGGGUAGCCGGCCUGAGAGGGCGACCGGCCACACUGGAACUGAGACACGGUCCAGACUCCUACGGGAGGCAGCAGUGGGGAAUAUUGGGCAAUGGGGGGAACCCUGACCCAGCGACGCCGCGUGAGGGACGAAGUCCUUCGGGAUGUAAACCUCUGUUGUGGGGAAGGAAGUACAGUGACGGUACCGUCACGAGGAAGCCCCGGCCGAAACUACGUGCCAGCAGCCGCGGUAAAAGUAGUGUGUA
rnacentral:rRNA from 1 species